CCAGCAACAUAGCUUACUUUCAACCUAUCUUUUAUCAGAAUUUACUGGACUAUCUCUUGCACUAAACGUUAUUCCCUUAUCCUAUAUCUGUACACUCUGGACAGCUUGAUUGUAAUCAUGUAAUCUUUCCACUGGCUGGACAGCACGCACCAACAAAG